GAUGAACGCUGGCGGCGUGCCUAAUACAUGCAAGUCGAGCGAACAGACGCGGAUCUUGCUGCUCUGACGUUAGCGGCGGACGGGUGAGUAACGCGUGUAUACCCUACCUAUCAGACUGGGAUAACUUCGGGACAGCGGAUCAUAUACCGGAGGAGCUUCUGAACCGCGGGGGUCGAUAGAAAAAGACGGUGUUGCGGGCUGUUGUAGAUGGAUCCGCGCUUCAUUGCCGAGUUGGUGAGUUAUCGGUUUACCAAGGCAACGAUGGGUAGCCGACCUGGGAGGGUGACCGGGCACAAUGGGACUAAGAGACGGACCAGUCGCGUACGGGAGGCAGUAGGGGAAAAUAUUGCACAAUAGGGCGAAGCCUGAUGCAGCAACGCCGCGUGCGGGAUGACCGCCUUCGAGUUGUAAACCGCUUUCUACUGAAACGUAGCGUGAGUGACGGUAAUGGGUAAAGAAGCACCGGCUAACUACGUG
rnacentral:rRNA from 1 species